CAGCAGUAGGGAAUCUUCCACAAUGAGCGAAAGCUUGAUGGAGCGACACAGCGUGCAGGAUGAAGGUUUUCGAAUUGUAAACUGCUGUUAUAGGGGAAGAAAAACUUGGAUAGGAAAUGAUCCAAACUUGACGGUACCUUAUUAGAAAGUGACGGCUAACUAUGUGCCAGCAGCCGCGGUAAUACAUAGGUCACAAGCGUUAUCCGGAAUUAUUGGGCGUAAAGCGUUCGUAGGCGGUUUGUUAAGUCUGGAGUUAAAGACUGGGGCUCAACCCCAGCCCGCUCUGGAUACUGGCUGACUAGAGUUACAUAGAGGUAAGUGGAAUUCUUAGUGGAGCGGUGGAAUGCGUAGAUAUUAGGAAGAACACCAAUGGCGAAGGCAGCUUACUGGAUGUACACUGACGCUCAGGGACGAAAGCGUGGGGAGCAAACAGGAUUAGAUACCCUGGUAGUCCACGCCGUAAACGAUGAUCAUUAGCCGCUAGAAUACUUAGUGGCGCAGCUAACGCAUUAAAUGAUCCGCCUGAGUAGUAUGCUCGCAAGAGUGAAACUUAAAGGAAUUGACGGGGACCCGCACAAGCGGUGGAGCAUGUGGUUUAAUUUGAAGAUACGCGUAGAACCUUACCCACUCUUGACAUCUUCCGCAAUACUAUGGAGACAUAGUGGAGGUUAACGGAAUGACAGAUGGUGCAUGGUUGUCGUCAGCUCGUGCCGUGAGGUGUUAGGUUAAGUCCUGCAACGAGCGCAACCCCUGUCUUUAGUUACUAACGGAUAAUGCCGAGGACUCUAGAGAGACUGACUGGGUAACCAGUAGGAAGGUGGGGACGACGUCAAAUCAUCAUGCCUCUUACGAGUGGGGCAACACACGUGCUACAAUGGACGGUACAAAGAGAAGCAAUAUGGUGACAUGGAGCAAACCUCAAAAACCGUUCUCAGUUCGGAUUGAAGUCUGAAACUCGACUUCAUGAAGUUGGAAUCGCUAGUAAUCGUAGAUCAGCUACGCUACGGUGAAUACGUUCUCGGGUCUUGUAC
rnacentral:rRNA from 1 species